rnacentral:rRNA from 1 species
GGGGUGCUCGAGUGGCGAACGGGUGAGUAACACGUGAGUAACCUGCCCUUGACUUUGGGAUAACUUCAGGAAACUGGGGCUAAUACCGGAUAGGAGCUCCUGCUGCAUGGUGGGGGUUGGAAAGUUUCGGCGGUUGGGGAUGGACUCGCGGCUUAUCAGCUUGUUGGUGGGGGUAGUGGCUUACCAAGGCUUUGACGGGUAGCCGGCCUGAGAGGGUGACCGGCCACAUUGGGACUGAGAUACGGCCCAG